UCUACGGGGAGCAGCAGUGGGGAAUAUUGGACAAUGGGCGAAAGCCUGAUCCAGCCAUGCCGCGUGUGUGAAGAAGGCCUUCGGGUUGUAAAGCACUUUCAGUGGGGAAGAAAGCCUUGGGGCUAAUACCCUCGAGGAAGGACAUCACCCACAGAAGAAGCACCGGCUAACUCCGUGCCAGCAGCCGCGGUAAUACGGAGGGUGCGAGCGUUAAUCGGAAUUACUGGGCGUAAAGCGCGCGUAGGCGGUCUGAUAAGCCGGUUGUGAAAGCCCCGGGCUCAACCUGGGAACGGCAUCCGGAACUGUCAGGCUAGAGUGCAGGAGAGGAAGGUAGAAUUCCCGGUGUAGCGGUGAAAUGCGUAGAGAUCGGGAGGAAUACCAGUGGCGAAGGCGGCCUUCUGGACUGACACUGACGCCGAGGUGCGAAAGCGUGGGUAGCAAACAGGAUUAGAUACCCUAGUAGUC
rnacentral:rRNA from 1 species